AGUGAACGCUGGCGGCGUGCUUAACACAUGCAAGUCGAACGAGAACGGAAUAUAGCUUGCUAUAUUUGUCAGCUAAGUGGCGCACGGGUGAGUAAUGUAUAGAUAACCUGCCCUUAAGAAAGGAAUAACAGUUGGAAACGACUGCUAAUGCCCUAUAUGCCUUUAAUACAUAAGUAUGCAAGGGAAACGCUUUAGUGCUUAAGGAUGGGUCUGUAUGGUAUCAGCUUGUUGGUGAGGUAAUGGCUCACCAAGGCUAUGACGCCUAACUGGUUUGAGAGGAGGAUCAGUCACACUGGAACUGAGACACGGUCCAGACUCCUACGGGAGGCAGCAGUGGGGAAUAUUGCAAAAUGGACGAAAGUCUGAUGCAGCAACGCCGCGUGGAGGAUGACACAUUUCGGUGCGUAAACUCCUUUUAUAUAGGAAGAUAAUGACGGUACUAUAUGAAUAAGCACCGGCUAACUCCGUGCCAGCAGCCGCGGUAA
rnacentral:rRNA from 1 species